GAUUUUUUAAGUUCGAUCCUAGCGCCAUCUAUACGAAACUGGCGAAAACUACUCAACAGCUUACGAACCGGUUUUUUCGAAACAGUGUGGCGUCGCUGAGCGCUUCCGCUUCCGGCGGUCAAGUUUUAAGUUAUUAUUUUUAUUCAGUUGUUCUGAUUUUCAUUUGUUCUGAUUUGCUUGUGUUCUGAUUUUCACUUGUCUUCUUCAUCCUCCUGCAUUGAACGCGUCGUUUGAACGAAGUCGUGAGAUUUUUGAUCGCGUCCCUUGUGCUGAAUCUCCGCAAGACGUGCAUCGACUUUAAAUAGUGUGUCUAGUUUACGCGUGAACGUUUAAGUGUUAAUUCCAAUUUAGUGAUUCGUUUAAUUUGUAUAUAAGCUUAUUUAGUAGUGUAUCGCGUUUGGACGUCGUCGCCGUUUUGACUUAUGUUGUUUCGUUGUUCUAUAUUAUACGUGUUGUGAAAACCUUAAGGUUUAUUUUAAUUCCUUGACUGUACCGAGAACUCUGUGAAAUUGCCGUGUAUGAGUUAUAUGCGCGUGAUGAAGUGAAGGUAAAAGCAGCACGCCUUUACCGACAGUGGGAAUCAUACCGACCACCAAACCUGCAUUACCAUCAUCCCACAACGUGUGGUGGCCGUCAUCGAGGUCGAUAAGGAAGAGAAUGUUCCCUGCUGUUUCUGGCCCAGCUACCGACCAUAUAACAGAUAUGCACCGCGUGGAGGCCCCUCAGCAACGCUGUACCCAAGCGUAUGGAAGUAUGAGUAUCGCCAAUCAGGGCGAAGAUACCCAUCAAAAAACCAAAACUGGUCUUCUCGCAGUUAUGGUCUCUCGUGACGGCAACAAUAUAUAGAAGCUGUACAAAGGUUCGCGGAGCCGGUCUCUUUGCAAGUUCCAAAGUGUGAAUAGCCCUUGGACAUCCGAAUCUACUAAUGAACUGGUCAGCCAAUGCAAGGGCAACAGUCACUGUUUUUGUGCUCUGCAAUGGGAUCGCAUCUGAAUAUUUAGUGAGGUUAUCCUGUAAGAUGGAAAUAGACGAGCAACAAAAGAAAAACCAACAAGAAGAAAAAGAAAAGGAGAAAGACGAAGAAGAAGAAACAGAAAAAAAAGAAGAUAAACGAGAGGAAAAGCUAUCGACGUCGCAAAAACGGCACCCCCAAAGUUCCGGCUUCUUUUAUUGAGAAAUCAUCAUCUACCAACUAGAAAUGAAUGGGAAUAUCAUGGAUGAUGGUGCUACCUCGCGUUGCGUCGGAAUUAUCCUGGAACCAAUACUGAUUUAACUGUGACCCGGUAUCUAUAAGAAAAUUGUCGAUUCCCUGACGAAGACUGCCGUAUCGAAGUGAAAUGACAGGUGAUAAUGUGAAGCUAUUUAUGCCGGGCGUGUAGCAGACGCGGUGGAGUUGGCGCUGGUGAAAUUCAGGGUUCGUUCCGCGUUGCGCCCGUUCGCGGAGCGUCCUUCAAAUUUAAAAGAUUAAAUUGGCUUGCAGUGAAUUUAGUACCGGACGGUUGCGACUUUUCCCAACCACGAUCAGGAUUCCUUUUAUAACACCGAGUUUCUAAAUGACCCGUUCUUCCACAAAAUUUGCAUCUAUACUUGCCGUCACUAGAGUCCAUAACUGCGAAAAGACGAGUUUUCGUCCUUUCGUGCGCAUGUUCGGCCUGAUUGGCGAUACUCCCAAACGAAGUGGAAACCGAUUAGCGGAGAGCUUGCUGAGUUCCCCCACCAUCUUCCAACCUGCGCGGCUUAGUUAUGGACUCUGGUGACGGCAAGGUAGUUGAAUAACGUUCCUAUCUCCAAGGCUUGCGGCCUCUCUUAGCAGGACAGUUCGCGGAUAUGUGACCGAUUUUAUUACAAUUAAAACAUCUAAGCUGAUUUGUAUUUACUGUAUAAAUACCCGGUUUAUCAUCGGUGAUAUCAAUGUUUCCAAUUUCGUUCGUGCUUUUAGCCUGAUUCUCUAAUUUCGAAGGUAACUUAAUAGCAGUACCCAAAUCUUUUGAGAGCACUCAAUUUUCAACGUGUGUUGCGUGCCCGUGGAGCGCGAAGCGCUUUGCACAUGAGGUGCCUAAUUUUUAAAACAUAAUUGUAAAACUUGAAAUAAGAUUAACUGUUUAAAUUCAAUAAUAACUUUUAAUUAACAAUAAAGAACUUGAACGAAAAUUAAAUUUGACUUG